GUCUAAGGCAAUGAAUGACUCUAUGUACAGUAAGACCGGUGGUUCCAUGCUUACUUAGCUGGAUCGUGGGUAAAAUGUACCACAUCAGGUACUAGUGGGCUUUGAGUAUUCUUUUCAGAAGGAAAUAUUUCAUAAAGAAAUGAUACUGCUCUAUGAAACAUCUAAUAAUCUGCAGUACCAGGUAAUAAACUGCCAAGGUAUCUAUAAUAUCUGAUCCUAGAUUCUAUCUUAGAUACAAGGCAUAUUGAAAGAAACUUGGACCCUAGAAAGCAUAUUGUUACAUAUUUUUGAAAUAUACACAACAUAAACUUUUAAAAUAUUG
rnacentral:lncRNA from 1 species